UCUUACGGAUGAGCAAAGCAAGUGGUUUCUUGAUAUGGAAUCUAAUCCUAGUGAAGAUACUGUGAA
rnacentral:pre_miRNA from 1 species